UGGUUUGAUUCUGGCUCAGGAUGAACGCUGGCGGCAUGCCUAAUACAUGCAAGUCGAACGGAGUGAAGCCUUCGGGUUUCAUUCAGUGGCGAACGGGUGAGUAAUACGCAGGGAACCUGGCCAUGGCAGGGGGAUACACUCUGGAAACGGAGCAUAAGACCCCAUAGGCAGUAAGGCGGCAUCGCCUUGCUGUUAAAGAAAGCUGAAAGGCUUUGGCGAUGGAUGGACCUGCGGUGCAUUAGCUUGUUGGUGAGGCAACGGCUUACCAAGGCGAUGAUGCAUAGCCGGCCUGAGAGGGCGGACGGCCACACUGGGACUGAGACACGGCCCAGACUCCUUCGGGAGGCAGCAGUAGGGAAUUUUCGUCAAUGGGCGCAAGCCUGAACGAGCAAUGCCGCGUGAGUGAGGAAGGUCUUCGGACUGUAAAGCUCUGUUGCCGGGGAAAAAGGGGAAAUGCAGGAAAUGGCAUUUCAUGGAUGGUACCCGGCCAGAAAGCCACGGCUAACUACGUGCCAGCAGCCGCGGUAAUACGUAGGUGGCGAGCGUUAUCCGGAAUGAUUGGGCGUAAAGGGUGCGCAGGCGGUCUGUUAAGUCUGAAGGCAAAGGGAUGAGCUCAACUCAUUUAUGAUUCAGAAACUGGCAGACUUGAGGACAGGAGAGGGCGGUGGAACUCCAUGUGUAGCGGUAAAAUGCGCAGAGAUAUGGAAGAACACCAGUGGCGAAGGCGACCGCCUGGCCUGUGACUGACGCUGAGGCACGAAAGCGUGGGGAGCAAAUAGGAUUAGAUACCCUAGUAGUCCACGCCGUAAACGAUGAGGAGCAGGUGUUGGGAGUGAAAUCUCAGUGCCGAAGCCAACGCAGUGACUCCUCCGCCUGGGGAGUAUGCACGCAAGUGUGAAACUCAAAGGAAUUGACGGGGGCCCGCACAAGCGGUGGAGUAUGUGGUUUAAUUCGAAGCAACGCGAAGAACCUUACCAGGUUUUGACAUCGGAUGCGAAGGCGCAGAGAUGCGCUGGAGGCUAUCAUCCAGACAGGUGGUGCAUGGUUGUCGUCAGCUCGUGUCGUGAGAUGUUCAGUUAAGUCUGGCAACGAGCGCAACCCCCGUGGUAUGUUACUAACGCAUUUGGGCGAGGACUCAUAUCAGACUGCCGGUGACAAACCGGAGGAAGGCGGGGAUGACGUCAAAUCAUCAUGCCCCUUAUGACCUGGGCUACACACGUACUACAAUGGCGUCUACAGAGGGAAGCGACCCUGAGAAGGGAAGCGAAACCGGAAAAGGGCGUCCCAGUUCGGAUUGAAGUCUGCAACCCGACUUCAUGAAGAUGGAAUCGCUAGUAAUCGCGGAUCAGCAUGCCGCGGUGAAUACGUUCCCGGGCCUUGUACACACCGCCCGUCAAACCAUGGAAGCCGGCAACGCCCGAAGCCGGUGGCAUAACCUUUUAGGAGUGAGCCGUCGAAGGCGGGGCCGAUGACUGGGGUUAAGUCGUAACAAGGUAUCC
rnacentral:rRNA from 1 species